AUCCUCUCGCGGAUCCUACGUCUGAUGACUGGGUUUUCACAUGGCCGCCUGAGAUGUGCCUCCCAGAAUCCUAGUCAGAGCAUCAGUGCAUUCCCCGUCUCACA